AGCGAACGCUGGCGGCAGGCUUAACACAUGCAAGUCGAACGCCAUCUUCGGAUGGAGUGGCAGACGGGUGAGUAACGCGUGGGAACGUACCCUUUGGUUCGGAAUAUUCUCGGGAAACUGAGAGCAAUACCGGAUAAGCCCUACGGGGAAAGAUUAUCGCCAAAGGAGCGGCCCGCGUCAGAUUAGGUAGUUGGUGGGGUAAAGGCCUACCAAGCCUACGAUCUGUAGCUGGUCUGAGAGGAUGAUCAGCCACACUGGGACUGAGACACGGCCCAGAUCCUACGGGAGGCAGCAUGGGAAUCUUGGACAAUGGGCGCAAGCCUGAUCCAGCCAUGCCGCGU
rnacentral:rRNA from 1 species